AGAGUUUGAUCCUGGCUCAGGAUGAACGCUGGCGGUGUGCCUAAUACAUGCAAGUCGGACGAGAUCUUCGGAUCUAGUGGCGGACGGGUGAGUAACACGUUGGUACCUACCCCUAAGUGGGGAAUAACUGCCCGAAAGGGUGGCUAAUACCGCAUAAUCCCGCAAGGGUAAAGCAGUAAUGCGCUUAGGGAGGGGCCUGCGUCUGAUUAGCUAGUUGGUAAGGUAAUGGCUUACCAAGGCGACGAUCAGUAGCUGGAUCGAGAGGUUGACCAGCCACACUGGGACUGAGAUACGGCCCAGACUCCUACGGGAGGCAGCAGUAAGGAAUCUUCCACAAUGGACGAAAGUCUGAUGGAGCAACACCGCGUGCAGGAUGACGGUCUUCGGAUUGUAAA
rnacentral:rRNA from 1 species